AUGGGUGCGUCUUCGGACUGGUGUACAGGUGGUGCAUGGUUGCCGUCAGCUCGUGUCGUGAGAUGUUGGGUUAAGUCCCGCAACAAGCGCAACCCUUGCCCCGUGUUACUAACAGGUCAAGCUGAGGACUCUCGGGGGACUGCCGGCGUCAAGCCGGAGGAAGGUGGGGACGACGUCAAGUCAUCACGGCCCUUACGCCUAGGGCUACACACGUGCUACAAUGGCCGGUACAAAGGGCAGCAAGGUCGCAAGACGGAGCGAAUCCCAGAAAGCCGGUCCAAGUUCGGAUUGUGGGCUGCAACUCGCCCACAUGAAGCCGGAAUCGCUAGUAAUCGCGGAUCAGCCACGCCGCGGUGAAUACGUUCCCGGGCCUUGUACACACCGCCCGUCACGCCAUGGGAGCCGGGAGUGCCCGAAGUCCGUGUGCUAACCGCAAGGAGGCAGCGGCCUAAGGCAAGCUCGGUGACUGGGGCGAAGUCGUAACAAGGUAACCGU
rnacentral:rRNA from 1 species